GACGAACGCUGGCGGCGUGCUUAACACAUGCAAGUCGAACGGGCCCGCCCCUGUUUUUGGGGGUGGGUUGAGUGGCGAACGGGUGAGUAUCACGUGAGUAACCUGCCCCCUGCUCCUGGAUAACUGCUUGAAAGGGCGGCUAAUACGGGGUGUGCCGGCUGGUCCGCAUGGGCCUGGUCGGGAUAGUUUCAUCUUCGGGUGUUUCGGUGGGGGAUGGGCUCGCGGCCUAUCAGCUUGUUGGUGGGGUGAUGGCCCACCAAGGCGGUGACGGGUAGCCGGCCUGAGAGGGUGGGCGGCCACACUGGGACUGAGACACGGCCCAGACUCCUGCGGGAGGCAGCAGUGGGGGGUAUUGCACAAUGGGCGGAAGCCGGAUGCAGCGACGUCGCGUGAGGGAUGGAGGCCUUCGGGUUGUGAACCUCUUUCUCCGGUGGUGAAGGCCCUGUCCGUUGCGGCGGGGUUGACGGUAGCCGGGUAUGAAGCGCCGGCUAACUACGUG
rnacentral:rRNA from 1 species